GUGGGGAAUAUUGGACAAUGGGGGGAACCCUGAUCCAGCCAUGCCGCGUGUGUGAAGAAGGCCUUUUGGUUGUAAAGCACUUUAAGCGAGGAGGAGGCUACCGAGAUUAAUACUCUUGGAUAGUGGACGUUACUCGCAGAAUAAGCACCGGCUAACUCUGUGCCAGCAGCCGCGGUAAUACAGAGGGUGCGAGCGUUAAUCGGAUUUACUGGGCGUAAAGCGUGCGUAGGCGGCUUUUUAAGUCGGAUGUGAAAUCCCCGAGCUUAACUUGGGAAUUGCAUUCGAUACUGGGAAGCUAUAGUAUGGGAGAGGAUGGUAGAAUUCCAGGUGUAGCGGUGAAAUGCGUAGAGAUCUGGAGGAAUACCGAUGGCGAAGGCAGCCAUCUGGCCUAAUACUGACGCUGAGGUACGAAAGCAUGGGGAGCAAACAGGAUUAGAAACCCCGGUAGUCC
rnacentral:rRNA from 1 species